rnacentral:rRNA from 1 species
AGUGAACGCUGGCGGUAGGCCUAACACAUGCAAGUCGAACGGCAGCACAGUAAGAGCUUGCUCUUACGGGUGGCGAGUGGCGGACGGGUGAGGAAUACAUCGGAAUCUACUUUUUCGUGGGGGAUAACGUAGGGAAACUUACGCUAAUACCGCAUACGACCUACGGGUGAAAGCAGGGGAUCUUCGCACCUUGCGCGAUUGAAUGAGCCGGUGUCGGAUUAGCUAGUUGGCGGGGUAAAGGCCCACCAAGGCGACGAUCCGUAGCUGGUCUGAGAGGAUGAUCAGCCACACUGGAACUGAGACACGGUCCAGACUCCUACGGGAGGCAGCAGUGGGGAAUAUUGGACAAUGGGCGCAAGCCUGAUCCAGCCAUACCGCGUGAGUGAAGAAGGCCUUCGGGUUGUAAAGCCCUUUUGUUGGGAAAGAAAAGCAGCAGGUGAAUACCCCGCUGUUCUGACGGUACCCAAAGAAUAAGCACCGGCUAACUUCGUG